rnacentral:rRNA from 1 species
AUACGUAGGGGGCUAGCGUUGUCCGGAUUUACUGGGCGUAAAGGGUGAGUAGGCGGUAACGUGUGUCAGAUGUUUAAUCUAUGAGCUCAACUCAUAUCAGCAUUUGAAACUACGUAACUUGAGUGCAGGAGAGGUAAGUGGAAUUCCUAGUGUAGCGGUGGAAUGCGUAGAUAUUAGGAAGAACACCAAUGGCGAAGGCGACUUACUGGACUGAAACUGACGCUGAGGCUCGAAAGCGUGGGGAGC